CCCCCGCCCCUGCCCCCGCCCUCGCCGCCAACGUUCAACUACGCUCUUACUUUUGAUGGUGAAGUCGGCUCGAGAGGACGGCGAUCCUCAGGAUCUCCUUAUCGGACAGCUUCUGGAAGUCCAGGGUGGUGUUUAUCCAGGUGGUGGAGGCCCGAUUCAUCCAGGUCCAGCUCACCCAGGACCCCCUGGAGGGUCUGGCUCUCCACGUCUGCGGAGGACACAGCGCAGAUCCUUAAGAGAUCAAAGCAAAACUCAGAGAUCAAAGCGCCCGUCUGCCAGCAGGUCCGGGCUUCCACCCGACCCAACGGGCUCUAAUGCGGCUCCGGCAGGGACGGAGGGAGAACAAUGGGAAGGAACGCGGACACAUGGUUUGCAAUUGGGAUGGGAGGGGAACUCUUUCAUGAAAAAGGCUUUGGUCCGGUUCCGAGGCCGCAGAGACGGAACAUUUGUUAUCGAUUUGAUGCAGCGAUAUUUGCUGGAAGUGGAUCAUCUUCUGGGAGCCUGAACUGGACCGGGACCACGGUUGUGAGUCAUCCGGUCACAAUGAGACACGGGGAAACCAGCCACAGCCGACCGGUUCGGGCGGGGGGGCACCCGGACCUACCAGGACUUACACAAGUGAUCCGGGCCUUUCAGAACCAGGCGCACGUGGCGGCUCCUGUAGGGGAUGACGACCACCGUGUCCUCGCCUUAACGGAGCAAAACAGAGACCACGGUCAGGCCACAGCGGCUCACACGGACCCGGGACCAGGACCCGUCGGGGGGUUCUUUACCUCUGCCGGAGUCCUGCUGGGCUCGGUAGUGUCCCCGCACCAACCUGCAGGUGGCGCCGUCGCCGCCGCACACGCCGCAGUUGUCCUCCUUGGCGGCGCUGCCCAGCUCGUGGUCGCAGCCGACGAUCUAGAAAGCGGCCGCUUGAUGCACAUGUCCAAGGACUCGGUGUUGUGUAGCAGGCGCGUCCCGUCCAGAACUUUGGGGGCCAGCUCCAGCACCAGGCCCGAGUCCUUGGCGCUGCACUUGAGACUGCAGGGGUCUCCGGUCGUUGUAGACCGGCAGCCACUCGGGAAGCGACCCUGGAAACGCACGUCUGCGUGGGCCGAACACUGCUGGGCCCGGAAAUCCCGGCCUCCGGGGGGCAGUCCUGAGCACGGGGGUGGGGGGGGGGGCAGAGGAUGA
rnacentral:lncRNA from 1 species